UGAUAACUGACCAACGUGCAGAUUCCUCAUUAAAAGAAUUAUUUCAACAGGUUCGUCCGGAGGGGGCUGUGUCAGACCACGAAGGCGGAGCAGAAGGGGCGGGACCAGGAUUCGCCAGGCCCAGCGCGUCCUCGGGAUAUAAGCAGUCUGCUUCAGCGCGUGGGGGGGAGAGGACAGGAGCUGAAUCUGGCUUGGGGCUGAACCGGCUUCUCCACCCAGCUUGAUUCUACAGAGGUGGCUGUUCCCCCCAGCUGCCUGCCCACCCGGUCCUGGUUUGGGAUGGUUUGUUUGACCUUUCUUUUCUUUUCGCAGGGCUUAUCCGUGGAGCAAUGACACCGACCACACGGGGGGAGGGGCACCCGCUUGUCGAUGCUGGUCCUGUUUAUUUGCUUGGAUUGUACAAUAAAGACUGUACUCUUUUAUU